CAGCUUCAAGGAAUUCUGUGCUCCAAUCCCUGCAAAUGUGUAGGGAUAACUAUAAAUGCAAAAGCGGUAUUUUAUUGAUUUCUCCUGUCCCCCUCCUGGCCCGUGAUUUCUACGUGCCAGAAAGACUCCGG
rnacentral:lncRNA from 11 species